GACGAACGCUGGCGGCGUGCUUAACACAUGCAGGUCGAACGGAAAGGCCCCUUUGGGGGUACUCGAGUGGCGAACGGGUGAGUAACACGUGAGUAACCUGCCCUUGACUUCGGGAUAACUUCAGGAAACUGGGGCUAAUACCGGAUAGGAAUCCUUGCUGCAUGGUGGGGGUUGGAAAGCUUCGGCGGUUUUGGAUGGACUCGCGGCUUAUCAGCUUGUUGGUGGGGUAGUGGCUUACCAAGGCUUUGACGGGUAGCCGGCCUGAGAGGGCGACCGGCCACAUUGGGACUGAGAUACGGCCCAGACUCCUACGGGAGGCAGCAGUGGGGAAUAUUGCACAAUGGGCGGAAGCCUGAUGCAGCAACGCCGCGUGCGGGAUGACGGCCUUCGGGUUGGAAACCGCUUUCAGCAGGGGCGAAGCUUGUGGUGACGGUACCUGCAGAAGAAGCACCGGCUAACUACGUG
rnacentral:rRNA from 1 species